rnacentral:rRNA from 1 species
UGUCUCAAAGAUUAAGCCAUGCAUGUCUAAGUAUAAGCAAUUAUACAGCGAAACUGCGAAUGGCUCAUUAUAUAAGUUAUCGUUUAUUUGAUAGUACCUUACUNCUUGGAUAACCGUGGUAAUUCUAGAGNUAAUACAUGCUAAAAAUCCCGACUUCGGAAGGGAUGUAUUUAUUAGAUUAAAAACCAAUGCCCUCUGGGCUCCUUGGUGAUUCAUAAUAACUUUUCGAAUCGCACGGCCUUGCGCCGGCGAUGGUUCAUUCAAAUUUCUUCCCUAUCAACUUUCGAUGUUUGGGUCUUGGCCAAACAUGGUCGCAACGGGUAACGGAGGGUUAGGGCUCGACCCCGGAGAAGGAGCCUGAGAAACGGCUACUACAUCCAAGGAAGGCAGCAGGCGCGCAAAUUACCCAAUCCCGAUUCGGGGAGGUAGUGACAAUAAAUACUGAUACAGGGCUCUUUUGGGUCUUGUAAUUGGAAUGAGUACAAUUUAAAUCUCUUAACGAGGAACAAUUGGAGGGCAAGUCUGGUGCCAGCAGCCGCGGUAAUUCCAGCUCCAAUAGCGUAUAUUAAAGUUGUUGUGGUUAAAAGCUCGUAGUUGAACCUUGGGCCUGGCUGGCCGGUCCGCCUCACCGCGUGCACUGGUCCGGCCGGGCCUUUCCCUCUGUGGAACCCCAUGCUCUUCACUGAGUGUGGCGGUGAAACAGGACUUUUACUUUGAAAAAAUUAGAGUGCUCCAGGCAGGCCUAUGCUCGAAUACAUUAGCAUGGAAUAAUAAAAUAGGACGCGUGGUUCUAUUUUGUUGGUUUCUAGGACCGCCGUAAUGAUUAAUAGGGACAGUCGGGGGCAUCAGUAUUCAAUUGUCAGAGGUGAAAUUCUUGGAUUUAUUGAAGACUAACUACUGCGAAAGCAUUUGCCAAGGAUGUUUUCAUUAAUCAGGAACGAAAGUUAGGGGAUCGAAGACGAUCAGAUACCGUCGUAGUCUUAACCAUAAACUAUGCCGACUAGGGAUCGGACGAUGUUAUUUUUUGACGCGUUCGGCACCUUACGAGAAAUCAAAGUGCUUGGGCUCCAGGGGGAG